rnacentral:rRNA from 1 species
CGAGACUUUUUAUUUGAUGCUUGCAUCUUUUAAAAAGUUGAGUGGCGAACGGGUGAGUAACACGUGGGUAACCUGCCUUAAAGUGGGGGAUAACACUUGGAAACAGGUGCUAAUACCGCAUAACCAUCAAAACCGCCUGGUUUUGAUGUUAAAGAUGGUUCUGCUAUCGCUUUAAGAUGGACCCGCGGCGUAUUAGCUAGUUGGUGAGGUAACGGCUUACCAAGGCAAUGAUACGUAGCCGAACUGAGAGGUUGAUCGGCCACAUUGGGACUGAGACACGGCCCAAACUCCUACGGGAGGCAGCAGUAGGGAAUCUUCCACAAUGGACGAAAGUCUGAUGGAGCAACGCCGCGUGAGUGAAGAAGGUUUUCGGAUCGUAAAACUCUGUUGUCAGAGAAGAACGUGUGUGAGAGUAACUGUUCACGCAGUGACGGUAUCUGACCAGAAAGUCACGGCUAACUACGUGCCAGCAGCCGCGGUAAUACGUAGGUGGCAAGCGUUGUCCGGAUUUAUUGGGCGUAAAGGGAACGCAGGCGGUCUUUUAAGUCUGAUGUGAAAGCCUUCGGCUUAACCGAAGUCGGGCAUUGGAAACUGGGAGACUUGAGUGCAGAAGAGGAGAGUGGAACUCCAUGUGUAGCGGUGAAAUGCGUAGGUAUAUGGAAGAACACCAGUGGCGAAAGCGGCUCUCUGGUCUGUAACUGACGCUGAGGUUCGAAAGCGUGGGUAGCAAACAGGAUUAGAUACCCUGGUAGUCCACGCCGUANACGAUGAAUGCUAAGUGUUGGAGGGUU